rnacentral:rRNA from 1 species
UACGUAGGGGGCUAGCGUUGUCCGGAAUCAUUGGGCGUAAAGAGCGUGUAGGCGGCCCGGUAAGUCCGCUGUGAAAGUCGGGGGCUCAACCCUCGAAUGCCGGUGGAUACUGUCGGGCUAGAGUGCGGAAGAGGCGAGUGGAAGUUCCUGGUGUAGCGGUGAAAUGCGCAGACUAUCAGGAGGAACACCAAUUGCGAAGGCAGCUCGCUGGGACGUUACUGGCGCUGAGACGCGAAAGCG